GUGUUCACUUCAGCAGCACAUAUACUAAAAUUGGAACGAUAAGGAGAAGAUUAGCAUGGCCCCUGCACAAGGAUGACACACAAAUUAGUGAAGUGUUCCAUAUUUUU
ensembl:snRNA U6 U6 spliceosomal RNA